GACGAACGCUGGCGGCGUGCUUAACACAUGCAAGUCGAACGGAAAGGCCCUGCUUUUGUGGGGUGCUCGAGCGGCGAACGGGUGAGUAACACGUGAGUAACCUGCCCUUGACUUUGGGAUAACUUCAGGAAACUGGGGCUAAUACCGGAUAGGAGCUCCUGCUGCAUGGUGGGGGUUGGAAAGUUUCGGCGGUUGGGGAUGGACUCGCGGCUUAUCAGCUUGUUGGUGGGGUAGUGGCUUACCAAGGCUUUGACGGGUAGCCGGCCUGAGAGGGUGACCGGCCACAUUGGGACUGAGAUACGGCCCAGACUCCUACGGGAGGCAGCAGUGGGGAAUAUUGCACAAUGGGCGGAAGCCUGAUGCAGCAACGCCGCGUGCGGGAUGACGGCCUUCGGGUUGUAAACCGCUUUCGCCUGUGACGAAGCGUGAGUGACGGUAAUGGGUAAAGAAGCACCGGCUAACUACGUGCCAGCAGCCGCGGUGAUACGUAGGGUGCGAGCGUUGUCCGGAUUUAUUGGGCGUAAAGGGCUCGUAGGUGGUUGAUCGCGUCGGAAGUGUAAUCUUGGGGCUUAACCCUGAGCGUGCUUUCGAUACGGGUUGACUUGAGGAAGGUAGGGGAGAAUGGAAUUCCUGGUGGAGCGGUGGAAUGCGCAGAUAUCAGGAGGAACACCAGUGGCGAAGGCGGUUCUCUGGGCCUUUCCUGACGCUGAGGAGCGAAAGCGUGGGGAGCGAACAGGCUUAGAUACCCUGGUAGUCCACGCUGUAAACGGUGGGUACUAGGUGUGGGGUCCAUUCCACGGGUUCCGUGCCGUAGCUAACGCUUUAAGUACCCCGCCUGGGGAGUACGGCCGCAAGGCUAAAACUCAAAGGAAUUGACGGGGCCCCGCACAAGCGGCGGAGCAUGCGGAUUAAUUCGAUGCAACGCGUAGAACCUUACCUGGGUUUGACAUGGAUCGGGAGUGCUCAGAGAUGGGUGUGCCUCUUUUGGGGUCGGUUCACAGGUGGUGCAUGGCUGUCGUCAGCUCGUGUCGUGAGAUGUUGGGUUAAGUCCCGCAACGAGCGCAACCCUUGUUCACUGUUGCCAGCACGUUAUGGUGGGGACUCAGUGGAGACCGCCGGGGUCAACUCGGAGGAAGGUGGGGAUGACGUCAAGUCAUCAUGCCCCUUAUGUCCAGGGCUUCACGCAUGCUACAAUGGCUGGUACAGAGAGUGGCGAGCCUGUGGGGGUGAGCGAAUCUCGGAAAGCCGGUCUCAGUUCGGAUUGGGGUCUGCAACUCGACCUCAUGAAGUCGGAGUCGCUAGUAAUCGCAGAUCAGCAACGCUGCGGUGAAUACGUUCCCGGGGCUUGUACACACCGCCCGUCAAGUCAUGAAAGUUGGUAACACCCGAAGCCGGUGGCCUAACCGUUGUGGGGGAGCCGUCGAAGGUGGGACUGGUGAUUAGGACUAAGUCGUAACAAGGUAGCCGUACCGGAAGG
rnacentral:rRNA from 1 species